rnacentral:pre_miRNA from 1 species
CAUCUUACUAGACAGUGCUGGAUUGCACUGCUAGGUUCUAACACUGUCUGGUAACGAUGUU